rnacentral:lncRNA from 1 species
GUGAACAUAGAGUUCAUAGUUUGCCUUUAACACAAAUUCAAAGUAAGCAUUAUAUCUCAAGGAGCCCAGUUCGUUUGCUUGCAGAAAGUCCUUCACGUCCGGUAAAUAUUCACUUAGUUGAACUCCUUCUUUCAAUAGCUUUUGCAGUAUUUUCACAAAUAUACUGUCUUUAGUUGCUUCUAUCGGAUCAUCUUUACCUUCUGAACUGGACCACCCAUCUCUUCGGAGAGCCAUGCAGAGAAUUUUAAGUUUAAGAUCAUUUACAUCCACCUCCUCUUCCUAUAUAUCACAUAAGGAGAAAAGACAGGUAAUUUUAAAAUGGGUUCCUUUAAAAAAUAAAAAUCACCACUGUGACACAGUUUACAUUAAUUAAGUAGUCUUCAGGAUCUGAACACAGUUAAAAACAACAUCCUCUUUAAACAAAUGAGCUGAUGGCACUGUUGAGCCACUGAAGACUCCAUUUCCAUUUGAAGACACAUCUUGGACUUUCUACAUCCCCAGAAGACCAACUAUCUCAAUUUGAAAAAGAGUAUAUUAUAAAGCACACAAACGUCUGCCAAUUUGUAGAACAGCAUAUUCCAGGCAACUUUAACUUGCUAAAUGAUGACUGAACUCAAGGCUCUCUUCCUGGUGAGACCGAGCAAGCUGACAUGUAUCAGCAUUUCUAUUAGGACACGUUACGAAUUCCUGAUAUAGUGAUCCAGCACAUAUA